UACAGAGGUCUCAAGCGUUGUUCGGAUUCAUUGGGCGUAAAGGGUGCGUAGGCGGCGCGGUAAGUCGGGUGUGAAAUCUCGGGGCUUAACUCCGAAACUGCAUUCGAUACUGCCGUGCUUGAGGACUGGAGAGGAGACUGGAAUUUACGGUGUAGCGGUGAAAUGCGUAGAUAUCGUAAGGAAGACCAGUGGCGAAGGCGGGUCUCUGGGCAGUAACUGACGCUGAGGAGCGAAAGCGUGGGUAGCGAACAGG
rnacentral:rRNA from 1 species